CCUGCCCAAGAGAUCGGGAUAACACCUGGAAACAGAUGCUAAUACCGGAUAACAACAGAUGAUGCCUAUCAACUGUUUAAAAGAUGGUUCUGCUAUCACUCUUGGAUGGACCUGCGGUGCAUUAGCUAGUUGGUAGGGUAACGGCCUACCAAGGCGAUGAUGCAUAGCCGAGUUGAUAGACUGAUCGGCCACAUUGGGACUGAGACACGGCCCAAACUCCUACGGGAGGCAGCAGAG
rnacentral:rRNA from 1 species